rnacentral:tRNA from 1 species
AAAGAUCUAGUUUAAUUUUAAAAUUUCUGUUUGUCUAGCAGAGGAUACAGUUGUUUACUGUGGUUUUUG